rnacentral:rRNA from 1 species
UACAGAGGGUGCAAGCGUUGUUCGGAAUUAUUGGGCGUAAAGAGUGUGUAGGCGGUGCUCUAAGUUUGGUGUGAAAUCUCCCGGCUCAACUGGGAGGGUGCGCCGAAAACUGGAAUGCUUGAACGUGGGAGAGGAAAGCGGAAUUCCUGGUGUAGCGGUGAAAUGCGUAGAUAUCAGGAGGAACACCUGCGGUGUAGACGGCUUUCUGGACCAUUGUUGACGCUGAGACACGAGAGCGUGGGUAGCAAACAGG